rnacentral:rRNA from 1 species
AACGAACGCUGGCGGCAUGCCUAACACAUGCAAGUCGAACGAGACCUUCGGGUCUAGUGUCGCACGGGUGCGUAACGCGUGUGAACCUGCCCUUAGGUUCGGAAUAACUCCCCGAAAGGGGUGCUAAUACCGGAUAAUGUCUUCGGACCAAAGAUUUAUCGCCUUUGGAUGGGCCCGCGUUGGAUUAGCUAGUUGGUAGGGUAACAGCCUACCAAGGCGACGAUCCAUAGCUGGUCUGAGAGGAUGAUCAGCCACACUGGGACUGAGACACGGCCCAGACUCCUACGGGAGGCAGCAGUGGGGAAUAUUGGACAAUGGGCGAAAGCCUGAUCCAGCAAUGCCGCGUGAGUGAUGAAGGCCUUAGGGUUGUAAAGCUCUUUUACCCGGGACGAUAAUGACAGUACCGGGAGAAUAAGCUCCGGCUAACUCCGUG